GUGAGUAGCAGCUUUUCACUUGUUCACUGGCGUUUUCUCAGCUACCAAUGAUAGUUAUUUUAUUCUAUCAGUAUUAAAUAUGUUUUCUCUCAUGUUCAAAAUAGGCUGACCAAGAGCUAAACAGACAAGAAGAAUUUCUGAUAACUCAACAAGGUUUCAGAGAAAAUGCCUACAAGAUUAUCAUGAAGAUGAAUGACUGGUCUAACAUGACUCCAGGAAGUAAACACUUAGUGGAUGAGAUUCUUCACAGCAUCUUCUUUUUGGGUAAAAUCAAUGAACCCUCCUUUCCCCCAAAUGAAAUCUUCUCUGAUGACGAUAUUUUGGAAGCCUUAAUGGAAAAAUAUCCCAGACCUUUUCAGUUCUAUCUGACUGAGCUUCCUAGGCGGAGUCCGUUCUCCUGUGUGCUCGACAUGAUUGUCCUGCGGGAAAAUCCAGAGAAUGAAGAGCAAAUAAAGCAGAGUCUGCAAGAACUCAUCAGAGACCUAGCUCCAAAUAUUCUGGUCUCCUCCAUCAUCUGCAUUUCUCAGAAAUCCAACACCGACCAAAAUUCAAAGAGGUACUACGGAGUCUCCAUGUCCACCAACGGUCCUAACCCGAGGACAAUUGUGAUUGGUGCCUCCUGUCUUAGCAAAUGGGAUGAAUAUGUAUCUGGUGCAGUGAUGACCUAUUAUCCAAAAAAGAAAAAGAAAGAAUACUUUGAUGGAACCAUCAAAGUACCUGGAAACAUCAGGUGUGAGGCAUUUAGUCUCAGUCGUGAUGAACAAAUGAGCCCUUGUAAAUCAUGUCAUAAUUUGUUUGGCUUGAACACACAAGAAACCAAAGAGUGGCCUUAUGGUAACUGUGCUGAACCCGAGAGCCUGAGCAACUUGCUUAAAAAUGAGGAAGAAGUUAAAAAUACAACACAUGUACAUGAAUACUCAGCUGAAAACAGGCAGAGAGCUGAGAGAGAGGUUCGUAAGGAUCUUCAGGCAGUGUUGAGAACGAUUCACUUUAACACCUGGACAGGUGAAUUUUACAACCCAGAGUCAGAGUGAGAUGUCAUGAAAUCAUCUGCAUAAGGUGACCUGACACAUCUGCUUUGAUAUGAUUCUGAUGAAUGAAAGAGGCUCUGCUCUGACAGCAUCAGUGUGGAUUUGCUGUAAUCACAGACACACAUUAGCGCGCUCAAACUGUUUAUUCUCCAGCUCUGUGUAAUGUGCUUUGUAGAAAUUAUAAUAACAAUAAAUAUCAGCAUGUAAAAAUGAACUGUGCAAAAAACUAAAAAGAUGUUUCAAUCAAGUUAAUAAUAAAAUCAGGUUUCUAUAAUUUUAAUGCAAUAUGAAGCAUGCGAGGCAGCAAUUAUAGGGAAGAAACACGUCUUUAUACUGGUCUAUACCCAGGAUGCACAGAAAAUAAAACCUUUUUUUUUCCCUUUUAUGAUCCCAUCUAUAACCUCUUUCAUAAGUAAAAGCAUUACACGUGUAGUUACAGUAGUUGUAGUAGUUAUAGGACUAGUUAUAUUUGUGCUCUGUAAAAUGUAACUUGUUUCACUUUAACCCUGUAAAGUCUCAACCAUGAAAUAAUUGACAGAAAUCUCAACUGAAGUGUUUAUUGAACCUUCUAACAAAUACAAUAAAUAAAUAAAUUGCAUAUGUGAGU
rnacentral:lncRNA from 1 species